CAGCUUUUCCUUUGUCAGCCUAAAAGAACCAGAAGGCCAAUCUCAGGGUGGCUGUGACAUUACCUUCAGAUUGAAAGUUGAAGAAACUCUUUGAAAGAGAACAUCUAUUCAACCAAGUCUCAAAAGGAAAAUAAUUUCUGCAAACCUCACACUCCGAAUCCACCAGCACAUCCACCUGUUGGAGGUUUCGGAGACCGGUUUGGUCCAAACCGUGGCUUGUCUUCAGCUUUUAUAAAAAGAAACAGUUUGUACGUUUUGUUUACUAGAAAAAGAUCUAAGUCAAGCAUUGGAAUGACAUGA
ensembl:lncRNA